CGCGUGUGUGUUGUGGAUGGCGGGGCGCGCGGGGGGUUACAGGAACCGUGCUUCCAGCGGCAACACCAUGAAUUAAUAAAAAAUAAAAUCAAAAGCCUAUUUCUGCCUUCUUUCGCCAUUCGGUUUAAAUCAAAUCGCAUCCCCCCAGUGUCUUCUUUUUCUUUUCUUUCCUUUUUUCUCCACAGUGUAUAUUAGGGAAGACAUGCGGGCGUGCUCGCGCGCGUGGCAGUGCAACAAGGAGGGAGAAGCGGGAGCUCGCGCCAGUUCUCAAACAGCCCGCACGCGCUCGAAAUUCCUCCAAGGAACCUCUGCGAGCUUUUCUUUUUUCAUCACGCGCGAGCUAAAAAUAGAAACGGGGUUGGAUCGUGAUCCAGAAAUAGAUAGGGGGCAUCACUCCUAUAAAAGGCACACCAUUCAAGAGUACAGUGAAGAAGCGGAAAGCCGGAGCACAUUUUAUGGUUAAUAAAAAGAAGAAGAAGAAGAAAAGAGGCGUUUUAUUUGGGGGGCCUCUUUUUACGCCACUUUUCGUAUUUUUAAAGGAGGCUCCGCUGCUACAAUGGUUUGUCACAUCACACAUUGGACAAUGAGACACAGCAGCAGUGACCAAAGCACAAUGAGGUCAGAAGGUGGAAGCACGUGAGGGAAUCUGUAAAAGGGAAGUAAAGAGUAAAGUCUUUCAUUUUAUUUAUUUUUUAUUUUUUAUUUUGCAAAAUCAGCUAGUAAUGUUCUCAUGGUGUGAGGAUGUAAUCCUCACCUUCGACACGUACACAGACACACUCGCUGCGUUUAUCUUGCAUGCCCUUCUUUUUCAUUCAUCUUCUUUUGUUCUCUGUCUGUUAUUGUGGAUCAAAACGCAUUACGAUCAUUCCAAGAAGGAAACUGAUUCGGCUUAAGCAAAUUUUCUUUUACUCUUUUUUGUUAAAUACUGGACUAUUUAACAAAGGCACAAGGGGCACAUUUAACGUGUUGACAAUCAAAUAUUCAUAAUGUGUUUAUGACAUGCCAAUACACAGUCCUGUGUAGGGUGCCUGUUUUUUCCAACCCACACUGCCGUGCAUACACAGUCAGAUCUCCACACAUAUGAGUGUUCAGAUUAUUGCACAAUGUUAUGAUGAUUGUAUGAUUGUUCCAUGAUUUUUGGUAAACUUUUUAAAUCUGCCUUAAUCAGGAUCAAAUUCUGAGGUCACACACAGGCUGAAAGAAGCAGGAAGUGACCCCCCACGCCCCCCACCACCAUGCCCUAAACCCCUCUCCCUUAGCUCCAGCAUCUCAUGAAGUCAUGAGCUCCUGGUUUAGAAGAAUAUGUCCAACUCUCCCUAUCAGCACCUCCUCUCCAGGACAUCUCUUAAAUCAUCAUAGCUCCGAAAUAUACACACACUGGUUAGAAGGCAGUCUUUUGUCAUUGUGUGUUGAUGGAGGUUUGGGGAAAGGACAGGGACAAGGUAGAAAUACUUAAAAGGGUCUUUUCAACAGUGAAGGACACUAUACUAAAAAAAAAAAGCCUUUCACAAACCAAAUAAAUAAUUUAAGGAAAACAGAGGGAUUCUGAAAUUUUAUACUGGAAAAUAUACAAAAAUGUAGAUUAAUGAUGUGGUGUAUGUGUGUUCCUCUCUUUUUCUACAGGGCUGUACUGCAUGCGUCAUUGCUGACAUAUGGGACCGCAAAUGAGAAGCUGAUUUGUAGUUUUAAAUGUGUUAAACACGUCUGCGUCAAACUCCACAGGAGAUAUCCCAUGGAAAUAAUGUUUGUAAACGUAUUAAGUGAUGCCAGCUUUUUUGUUUUGCAGUGCUUUUCCUGCUUAGACGUAAAAUCACUGUUAAUUCACGACAGCGGGCAGAAUGAAAUUUUCGUUACGAGUUAAUGUGCGUCUGUGCUGUAGUGCUGGCUUUUCAGACGUAAGAGUGGAUGUCUGCAUGCCUGGAUUCGAGACACUGCCAUUAUGUGCAAACGUGCAGUGAAGAAAACGUGCAAAGUUUCCCACAGCAUCCUGAGAUUUAUAUGAUUACUUUGUUGAGAUUUUGCAUAUACACUGUUAUGCAAAUGUCACUAAAUACUUGAAAGCUACACGCACGUGUUCUGCACCUACGUUUGUGUAUCAGGCAGAAAGUCUUCAGAUAAGCACAACAAGAAUUACAUAGAAACUAUACAAUUUUACAGUUUGCAGAGAAACUCACUUAGCAUGGAGUAAGUUAAAAUAAAAAUAAGAGAAGUGAACUUUUCCAAAAAAUAUGUCAAUAAAUAGAUACACUCCCUUGUAAAGGGUGCCCUAAUAAAUGCAUUCAAAUACGAGUUACCUUGAACAUAUAACAUUUAACUCAGGUGUAGAUUUUCUCCAUGAUAACAGACUUCUGUUUCCCUUAAUGUAACAACAGGUAAGAUAAGACACACAUAGCAUGUGAACAAACUGUAUCCAGUUAUUACUGAGGUGUGUGCGUGUGUGUGUUUUGCUAUACAAUCCUGUUUUCUUCUUCAAGAUUCUUUGCUUUGCUAUGUAAUUCAUUUCUUUUAAAAUUAAUAUUACAUUUCAGCUCAGUCUCUUUCUUUCUUGUUUUCUCUUUCAGGUGUUUAAAAAGUCAAUGAUAUGUAAAACUUAAACAGAUUUCCCAACUGUGAUUUCAUUUUCUCCUUUCCCCUUAAUAUACACCGAAUUUCAAUUUUGUGGUACGUCAUUAACUGUGUGUAUUAUUAUCAUUAUUAUUGUCUUUAAAUAAAGUUAUUUCAAGUCUCUAUGCAACAACAUGGAUGAUUAAUAAAAGCCUUGAAAAAUCCUGCAUCGUGUGUCUUCAUUAAGUUUGCAUGUUUGAUUUGAGGAGAUACGUGUUGUAAAGAAUUAGGUAUUCACACAUCAAUGUGAUUCUUUGCUGUAAAGACGCACAUGGAACUACACAAUAAUAAAAGCCGGUAGAUA
ensembl:lncRNA